GACGGAGGAUGCAAGCGUUAUCCGGAAUGAUUGGGCGUAAAGCGUCCGCAGGUGGCAGUUCAAGUCUGCUGUCAAAGACCGGGGCUUAACUUCGGAAAGGCAGUGGAAACUGAACAGCUAGAGUAUGGUAGGGGCAGAGGGAAUUCCUGGUGUAGCGGUGAAAUGCGUAGAGAUCAGGAAGAACAUCGGUGGCGAAGGCGCUCUGCUGGAGCCAUAACUGACACUCAGGGACGAAAGCUAGGGGAGCGAAUGGG
rnacentral:rRNA from 1 species